rnacentral:rRNA from 1 species
UACGUAGGUGGCAAGCGUUGUCCGGAUUUACUGGGCGUAAAGAGCGCGCAGGCGGCCAAGUAAGUCGAAUGUGAAAGCCCCCGGCUCAACUGGGGAGGGUCAUUCGAUACUGCUCGGCUCGAAGACAGGAGAGGGAAGCGGAAUUCCCGGUGUAGUGGUGAAAUGCGUAGAUAUCGGGAGGAACACCGGUGGCGAAGGCGGUUCUCUGGGCAUGUCCUGACGCUGAGGAGCGAAAGCAUGGGGAGCGAACAGG